rnacentral:rRNA from 1 species
CGGGACGGGUGAGUAACGCGUGAGGGAACCUGCCUCAGAGAGGGGGAUAACACACCGAAAGGUGUGCUAAUACCGCAUAACAUAUGAGAGGGGCAUCCCUUUCAUAUCAAAGAUUUAUUGCUCUGAGAUGGCCUCGCGUCCAAUUAGCUAGUUGGUGAGGUAACGGCCCACCAAGGCGACGAUUGGUAGCCGGACUGAGAGGUUGAACGGCCACAUUGGGACUGAGACACGGCCCAGACUCCUACGGGAGGCAGCAG